GACGAACGCUGGCGGCGUGCUUAACACAUGCAAGUCGAACGGAAAGGCCCUGCUUGCAGUGUACUCGAGUGGCGAACGGGUGAGUAACACGUGGGUGAUCUGCCCUGCACUUCGGGUUAAGCCUGGGAAACUGGGUCUAUUACCGGAUAGGAGCCAUUUUUAGUGUGUUGGUUGGAAAGUUUUUUCGGUGUAGGAUGAGCUCGCGGCCUAUCUGCUUGUUGGUGGGGUAAUGGCCUACCAAGGCGGCGACGGGUAGCCGGACUGAGAGGGUGGACGGCCACAUUGGGACUGAGAGACGGCCCAGACACCUACGGGAGGCAGCAGUGGGGAAUAUUGCACAAUGGGCGCAAGGCUGAUGCAGCGAAGCCGCGUGGGGGAUGACGGCCUUCGGGUUGAAAACACGUGGCGAUAGGGACGAAGCUUUUUGUGACGGUACCUAGAUAAGAAGCACCGGCUAACUACGUG
rnacentral:rRNA from 1 species